rnacentral:rRNA from 1 species
GCCUUAGUAACUGCGAGUGAAGCGGCAAAAGCUCAAAUUUGAAAUCUGACGUCUUCGGCGUCCGAGUUGUAAUUUGGAGGGAUAACUUCGGGGUUGGCGCCGUCCUAAGUUCCUUGGAACAGGACGUCACAGAGGGUGAGAAUCCCGUGCCUGGAUGGCUGUCCAACUCCAUGUGAAGUGUCUCCGACGAGUCGAGUUGUUUGGGAAUGCAGCUCAAAAUGGGUGGUAAAUUUCAUCUAAAGCUAAAUAUUGGCGAGAGACCGAUAGCGCACAAGUAGAGUGAUCGAAAGAUGAAAAGCACUUUGAAAAGAGAGUUAAAAAGUACGUGAAAUUGUUGAAAGGGAAGCGCUUGCGACCAGACUCGAUCUUUGGUGAUCAGCCGGGCUUCUGUCCGGUGCCCUCGCCAUUGAUUGGGCCAGCAUCGGUUCUGACGGCGGGAUAAAAGGAGGAGGAAUGUGGCUCCCUUCGGGGAGUGUUAUAGCCUCCUUCACAAUGCCGCCAGUUGGGACCGAGGACCGCGCUUCGGCUAGGAUGCUGGCGUAAUGGUCUUAAGCGACCCGUCUUGAAACACGGACCAAGGAGUCUAACAUCUAUGCGAGUGUUCGGGUGGAAAACCCUUGCGCGUAAUGAAAGUGAACGGAGGUGUGAACCCUUUACGGGGUGCAACAUCGACCGGUCCUGAUGUCUUCGGAAGGAUCUGAGUAAGAGCAUAGCUGUUGGGACCCGAAAGAUGGUGAACUAUGCCUGAAUAGGGUGAAGCCAGAGGAAACUCUGGUGG